AUGUGUACUUUUGCUUUUUGCUCAAAGAGUAUCUCUGACGUCAUUGUUUCAAAGUCAGUGUUUGAUUCAGUUGAAGAUGGAUUAAAAUGUCACACUUUUUGAAAAAGUUGUCCAAUGAAUUCUAUAUAUUCUCUUAUAUAUUAGGUUUUACUUUAGAUGUAAAAAAAGGACAAAAAUGAAUCUUAAAAUCAUUUGUCAUUUACAAACUACUUUAUUACAUUUAUUUCAUUUUGACAUCUUUCUCUUUGACUAUUUUCCUACUAAACCAUGUGCUCAAAUUGUUUUCUCCCGACUUUAACAUAAAAAGUUCCACAAAAACUCCUGGCUUUGUUGAAGGAAGGGUGUGAGUCUUUAAAAAAAAAAAAAAGAAAAG